rnacentral:rRNA from 1 species
UACGUAGGGUGCAAGCGUUACUCGGAAUUACUGGGCGUAAAGCGUGCGUAGGUGGUUCGUUAAGUCUGAUGUGAAAGCCCUGGGCUCAACCUGGGAAUGGCAUUGGAAACUGGCGACCUAGAGUGCGGUAGAGGGUAGUGGAAUUCCCGGUGUAGCAGUGAAAUGCGUAGAGAUCGGGAGGAACAUCCGUGGCGAAGGCGACUACCUGGGCCAGCACUGACACUGAGGCGCGAAAGCGUGGGGAGCAAACAGG